rnacentral:rRNA from 1 species
AUUGAACGCUGGCGGCAGGCCUAACACAUGCAAGUCGAGCGGUAGCACAGGGAGCUUGCUCCUGGGUGACGAGCGGCGGACGGGUGAGUAAUGUCUGGGAAACUGCCUGAUGGAGGGGGAUAACUACUGGAAACGGUAGCUAAUACCGCAUAACGUCGCAAGACCAAAGAGGGGGACCUUCGGGCCUCUUGCCAUCAGAUGUGCCCAGAUGGGAUUAGCUAGUAGGUGGGGUAACGGCUCACCUAGGCGACGAUCCCUAGCUGGUCUGAGAGGAUGACCAGCCACACUGGAACGGAGACACGGUCCAGACUCCUACGGGAGGAAGCAGUGGGGAAUAUUGCACAAUGGGCGCAAGCCUGAUGCAGCCAUGCCGCGUGUAUGAAGAAGGCCUUCGGGUUGUAAAGUACUUUCAGCGGGGAGGAAGGCGAUAAGGUUAAUAACCUUGUCGAUCGACGUUACCCGCAGAAGAAGCACCGGCUAACUCCGUGCCAGCAGCCGCCGUAAAAC